rnacentral:rRNA from 1 species
AGUGAACGCUGGCGGCGUGCCUAAUACAUGCAAGUCGAACGGAGUGGCGCACGGGUGUGUAAUGUAUAGCUAAUCUGCCCUACACUCGAGGACAACAGUUGGAAACGACUGCUAAUACUCUAUAGUUUAGGAUGCGGCUAUAUUGUAUCAGCUAGGUGGUGAGGUAAUGGCUCACCAAGGCUAUGACGCAUAACUGGUCUGAGAGGAUGAUCAGUCACAGUGGAACGGAGACACGGUCCAUAGUCCUGCGGGAGGCAGCAGUAGGGAGGAUUGCGCAAGAGUGGAAACCCUGAAGGAGCAACGCAGCGUGGAGGAGGACACUUAUCAGAGCAUAAACUACUUGUGAAAGGGGAGCGGUACCUAACGAGUAGGCACCGACUAACUCCGAGCCAACAGCCGCGGUAAUAC